UUUUUUUUUAUUUUUUUUUCCCAGGACGAACGCUGGCGGCGUGCCUAAUACAUGCAAGUCGAGCGGACAGAAGGGAGCUUGCUCCCGGAUGUUAGCGGCGGACGGGUGAGUAACACGUGGGUAACCUGCCUGUAAGACUGGGAUAACUCCGGGAAACCGGAGCUAAUACCGGAUAGUUCCUUGAACCGCAUGGUUCAAGGAUGAAAGACGGUUUCGGCUGUCACUUACAGAUGGACCCGCGGCGCAUUAGCUAGUUGGUGGGGUAAUGGCUCACCAAGGCGACGAUGCGUAGCCGACCUGAGAGGGUGAUCGGCCACACUGGGACUGAGACACGGCCCAGACUCCUACGGGAGGCAGCAGUAGGGAAUCUUCCGCAAUGGACGAAAGUCUGACGGAGCAACGCCGCGUGAGUGAUGAAGGUUUUCGGAUCGUAAAGCUCUGUUGUUAGGGAAGAACAAGUGCGAGAGUAACUGCUCGCACCUUGACGGUACCUAACCAGAAAGCCACGGCUAACUACGUGCCAGCAGCCGCGGUAAUACGUAGGUGGCAAGCGUUGUCCGGAAUUAUUGGGCGUAAAGGGCUCGCAGGCGGUUUCUUAAGUCUGAUGUGAAAGCCCCCGGCUCAACCGGGGAGGGUCAUUGGAAACUGGGAAACUUGAGUGCAGAAGAGGAGAGUGGAAUUCCACGUGUAGCGGUGAAAUGCGUAGAGAUGUGGAGGAACACCAGUGGCGAAGGCGACUCUCUGGUCUGUAACUGACGCUGAGGAGCGAAAGCGUGGGGAGCGAACAGGAUUAGAUACCCUGGUAGUCCACGCCGUAAACGAUGAGUGCUAAGUGUUAGGGGGUUUCCGCCCCUUAGUGCUGCAGCUAACGCAUUAAGCACUCCGCCUGGGGAGUACGGUCGCAAGACUGAAACUCAAAGGAAUUGACGGGGGCCCGCACAAGCGGUGGAGCAUGUGGUUUAAUUCGAAGCAACGCGAAGAACCUUACCAGGUCUUGACAUCCUCUGACAACCCUAGAGAUAGGGCUUUCCCUUCGGGGACAGAGUGACAGGUGGUGCAUGGUUGUCGUCAGCUCGUGUCGUGAGAUGUUGGGUUAAGUCCCGCAACGAGCGCAACCCUUGAUCUUAGUUGCCAGCAUUCAGUUGGGCACUCUAAGGUGACUGCCGGUGACAAACCGGAGGAAGGUGGGGAUGACGUCAAAUCAUCAUGCCCCUUAUGACCUGGGCUACACACGUGCUACAAUGGACAGAACAAAGGGCUGCAAGACCGCAAGGUUUAGCCAAUCCCAUAAAUCUGUUCUCAGUUCGGAUCGCAGUCUGCAACUCGACUGCGUGAAGCUGGAAUCGCUAGUAAUCGCGGAUCAGCAUGCGCGGGGUGGAUAUACGUUUCCCGGGCCUUGUACCACACCGCCCGUCACACCACGAGAGUUUGCAACACCCGAAGUCGGUGAGGUAACCUUUAUGGAGCCAGCCGCCGAAGGUGGGGCAGAUGAUUGGGGUG
rnacentral:rRNA from 2 species